rnacentral:tRNA from 1 species
GAAGCCCCGGUAGGCGGUAGCCUACAUCUCAGGAUUUGCAAUCCUGCAUGACUUUCACCACAGAGCUG